rnacentral:rRNA from 1 species
AUGGUGCCUGUCCACCGGUCACUUGCUUCAUAUGAGGUCUAUGCUUCAUCAUACGGAGUACCGACCAUUGUUCACUGCGGUGUGUACACGGUUGAAGCAAGUGGCCUUGGAGCUAUAAAAACCAACGAGCAGCUCAAGUCCCAGCCACCACCCCAACCUACACAACACAAGAUAGAACUGUCUCCACAGUCCACAGUCCACAGCCACGCAUGGGCCGAUGAUGAAAACGCAGUCACACUGGUGGUGUCGGAGGCCGAGGACCAUGGCUUCCACCUGUACAACCCACUGCGUGCGACCAGCGAGAUUCUCAUGGAGAGUAUAGUGCAGUUCAUAAACCAGCGCACGGCCUUGCCACUGCCGGCCGCUUUGCUCCCGGAGCCGGAGCUGCAUCUGCAUGCAUCCCAAACUAGGAAGAAGAAGGCAUCAUCUGCUGCUGCUGAGAUGGACUCUGUCCAUCCUAUUAUAGGCGUGCCUACUAGACCCUCUAUGACACACCCACCGAAGCCGGCACCGAAGCCGAUGCACCCGUCGACAAUGGUGCCCGAUCAGAGAGCUGGUCACAUCAAGCGUAGGGAACUAGAUGAAGCUCUGGAGAUUGGCCCUGAAUUUCAAGAGGUCGUCCCUACAUGGCACAUCGCCACGGAGGUUUUUCUGUUGUGUAGGCCAGCAGAAGCAGCAUCGUUCAACUAUGUCAAGGCAAUAAAAGAGCUGUCGAUUUAUAUGAUGUUUGUGUUGGUCGUACGCCCCCGCAUGGUACCAGGCCUUGAGCUCUCAAGCCUGCACGAAGCAACACGUGACGACCUGAAAGAAAUUUGGCAUGUCAAGAAAAGUAACCCUUGCUCUACAAACAGAGAGAACGAGCUUGCCAGCGUCCUGCGAAGCAUGGAGGGGACGACGCCAGGAAGUGAGCCUGAUAGUAGAAAGCUCAUGAUAAGAUGGCUCAGCACCCCGAAUUAUGCCGAACAUCUGAAGAGGCAAAGAUCCAAAGAAAUGCGUACGCACCAUCUGCUGCCGGAUUUAUGGUAUGGAUUGGGUCUGCGGGAAAUGUUGGAACUCAUCUUGGAUGCGUGGGUGCGGUUGCUCAUCUAUGCGUCCAUCCGAUGCAGCUGGGAAUCCCAUGGGAAGCAGCUCGGUAGGGGCGGCAAGCUCAUGACCAUCAUCUGGAUCCUUGUUGAGCACGCCGCCAUGGAUCGCGAAACGUGA